rnacentral:rRNA from 1 species
UACGAAGGGGGCUAGCGUUGCUCGGAAUCACUGGGCGUAAAGCGCACGUAGGCGGCUUUCUAAGUCAGGGGGUGAAAUCCUGGAGCUCAACUCCAGAACUGCCUUUGAUACUGGAGAGCUUGAGUCCGGAAGAGGUGAGUGGAACUCCGAGUGUAGAGGUGAAAUUCGUAGAUAUUCGGAAGAACACCAGUGGCGAAGGCGGCUCACUGGUCCGGUACUGACGCUGAGACGCGAAAAGCGUGGGGAGCGAACAGG